rnacentral:rRNA from 2 species
AUUUAAAGAGUGCGUAAUAGCUCACUAGUCGAGUGAUUCUGCGCCGAAAAUGUACCGGGGCUAAGCAUAUUACCGAAACUGUGGAUGUGCACUAUGUGCACGUGAUAGGAGAGCGUUCUAAGGGCGGCGAAGUCAGACCAUGAGGACUGGUGGAGCGCUUAGAAGUGAGAAUGCCGGUAUGAGUAGCGAAAGACAGGUGAGAAUCCUGUCCACCGAAUGACUAAGGUUUCCUGGGGAAGGCUCGUCCUCCCAGGGUAAGUCGGGACCUAAGCCGAGGCCGAGAGGCGUAGGCGAUGGAUAACAGGUUGAGAUUCCUGUACCAGUUAACUGCGUUUGACGAUGGAGGGACGCAAGAGGCUAAGCAAACCGUACGACUGGAAGAGUACGGCCAAGCAGUAAGUCAGGAUGUGAGUCAAAUGUUUACAUCCGUGUUGACAAGCUGUGAUGGGGAGCGAAAUUAAAGUAGCGAAGUUGCCGAUGUCACA